rnacentral:misc_RNA from 1 species
UAGAUACCAGGAAUAGUCAUAGCUGCCAAUCAUAACAAAUACAAGCAAUUAAUUUUCAUACAAACUCAAUACACAGAUAUUUUCCCACAACAUGAACAUGUUUGUAGGGUUGAUAUAGGAUCAGAAAAAUUACUGUUGAAUUUUAUUUUUUUAAAAUGCAAGGAUCCAACUCAAAAAAAUUGUCAUCCAAAAUAUGCAUCCCUUAUGUAAGAAUGUCAACUGUGAGGAGGAGAAAUUGGAGG